rnacentral:lncRNA from 1 species
GUCUCGAGCCUUGACCAGCGUUGACAGAGACCCGACAUUGACCUAUCAAACCCAGGUUUGACCAAUUUUGACUCGAGUCCAAUCAACCAGCUAAAGGCUCGGCUUGCAUCCACGUCUCUCGGAUCUACCAAAUCCAUCAUCAAUCACCAUCGUUUGAGAAGAAGCUAACCAAGAAUUUCAGUUUUGACAACUAACAGAAGGUAUUAAACCUUACCGGAGUUUACGUCACUGCACCACCGUACGUCCGCCGCGGUGCCGGCUUAGCGCCGCCGUGUCUCCACCUGAGUCGCCCGACGCCAUCUUGCACGACAAUCCUCGAACCGCCAUCAUCACCUACACUCGUCCACUACCUCACCAGAAUCACCCUAUCCCUCCGUCUUCUGCCGCCCGAACACAACCCAAACAACCCCAAAAACCACCGUCGCUGUCCACCGAGCUCCGCCACCCAUGGUGACGGUCGGCCGUUCAUCUCCCUCUCACUCUCGUGACUUCUAUCUUAUCUCCACUCUCCUAAAAUAUGAAAUUGAUGUAGAAAGAAAAAGUCACGGGGGCUAGGGUUUGAGAAGAAUAUGAAAGGGAAGGAGAAAGAGAUAGUUAUAAAGCUUGGGUUUGGGUAGGUGUGUUGGGCUUAAACCACGCAUAUGAACUGGGUUUUACGUCCUCGUUUAAAAUUAACCCGUUCGUUUAAAUUACAUAAAAUAGAUAUAACAGUUUCAAGUAUCUUUACUAGUUUAACUUAGAACUAAUAUUCAGAGCAUAUAUUUUGUAUGCGUGUCUACCUGUAUAUAUAUAUACAUAUAUAUGCUAACUUAAAUAAGCUUG